AUUGAACGCUGGCGGCAUGCCUUACACAUGCAAGUCGAACGGUAACAGGUCUUCGGAUGCUGACGAGUGGCGAACGGGUGAGUAAUGCAUCGGAACGUGCCCAGUAGUGGGGGAUAGCCCGGCGAAAGCCGGAUUAAUACCGCAUACGACCUGAGGGUGAAAGGGGGGGAUCGCAAGACCUCUCGCUAUUGGAGCGGCAGAUGUCAGAUUAGCUAGUUGGUGGGGUAAAGGCCUACCAAGGCAACGAUCUGUAGUUGGUCUGAGAGGACGACCAGCCACACUGGGACUGAGACACGGCCCAGACUCCUACGGGAGGUAGCAGUGGGGAAUUUUGGACAAUGGGCGCAAGCCUGAUCCAGCAAUGCCGCGUGCAGGAAGAAGGCCUUCGGGUUGUAAACCGCUUUUGUCAGGGAAGAAAUCUUCUGGGUUAAUACCUCGGGAGGAUGACGGUACCUGAAGAAUAAGCACCGGCUAACUACGUGCCAGCAGCCGCGGUAA
rnacentral:rRNA from 1 species